rnacentral:rRNA from 1 species
GAAAUUCCAAUCGAACCCGGAGAUAGCUGGUUCUCCCCGAAAUAGCUUUAGGGCUAGCGUUAACGAGUAAUUCAUGAGGGUAGAGCACUGAAUGUGUGAUGGCCGCACCUCGCGGUACUGAGCCCAAUCAAACUCCGAAUAUCAUGAAGUAAGAAGUUAGCAGUCAGACAGUGGGUGAUAAGGUUCAUUGUCGAAAGGGAAAGAGCCCAGACCGCCAGUUAAGGUCCCAAAAUUAAUGCUAAGUGGCAAAGGAAGUGGAGAUGCACAAACAGCUAGGAGGUUGGCUUAGAAGCAGCCAUCCUUUAAAGAGUGCGUAAUAGCACACUAGUCGAGUGACUCUGCGCCGAAAAUGUACCGGGGCUAAGCAUUAUACCGAAGCUGCGGAUUUGGAGGUAACUCUGAGUGGUAGGGGAGCGUUCUAACAGCGAAGAAGCGGUACCGGAAGGAGCCGUGGAGUGGUUAGAAGAGAGAAUGCCGGUGUAAGUAACGAAAAGAUAGGUGAGAAUCCUAUCCGUCGAAAACCCAAGGAUUCCAGGGGAAGGUUCGUCCGCCCUGGGUAAGUCGGGGCCUAAGGUGAGUCCGAGAGGAGUAGCCGAUGGAUAACAGGUAGAGAAUCCUGUACUAGUAUAUAUACAGAUGGAGUGACAGAGGAGGCUAGGUUUCGCCCGUGAAUGGAUUCGGGACGAGAUAGCGAGACAGUGGUGUAGGAAAAUCCGCACUGCGUUAAGGAUAGCUAUGAUAGGUAAAGGAAUACGAAGUCAAACUUUCAAGAAAAGCUUCUAUGGUUAAUAUAUAUACUACCCGUACCGUAAACCGACACAGGUGGGUGGGUAGAAAAUACUAAGACGCGCGAGAAAACCCUUGUUAAGGAACUCGGCAAAAUGACCCCGUAACUUAGGGAUAAGGGGGACUUUUAAUGAAAAAAGAGAGUCGCAGAAAAAAGGCCCAAGCGACUGUUUAUCAAAAACACAGGUCUCUGCAAAACCGUAAGGUGAAGUAUAGGGGCUGACGCCUGCCCGGUGCUGGAAGGUUAAGAGGAGAUGUUAGGCAACGAAGCAUCGAAUUGAAGCCCCAGUAAACGGCGGCCGUAACUAUAACGGUCCUAAGGUAGCGAAAUUCCUUGUCGGGUAAGUUCCGACCCGCACGAAAGGCGUAACGAUUUGGGCACUGUCUCAACAAGGGACUCGGUGAAAUCAAGCUGCCGGUGAAAACGCCGGCUACCCGCGACAGGACGAAAAGACCCCAUGGAGCUUUACUGUAGCUUGAUAUUGAGAUUCGGUGUACGAUGUACAGGAUAGGUGGGAGACUGAGAAACUAGGACGUUAGUCUUGGCGGAGUCGCCCUUUGGAUACCACCCUUCGUCCAUUGAGUUUCUAACCAUCAGAUGUGGAAUCUGGGGGACAGUGUCAGGUGGGCAGUUUGACUGGGGCGGUCGCCUCCCAAAGAGUAACGGAGGCGCCCGAAGGUUCCCUCAGAAUGGUUGGAAAUCAUUCAUAGAGUGCAAAGGCAUAAGGGAGCUUGACUGUGAGACAAACAAGUCGAGCAGGUACGAAAGUAGGGCUUAGUGAUCUUCCGGUUCAGUAUGGAAUGGCCGGGACUCAACGGAUAAAAGCUACCCUGGGGAUAACAGGCUUAUCGCGUCCAAGCGUUCACAGCGACGACGCGGUUUGGCACCUCGAUGUCGGUUCGUCGCAUCCUGGAGCUGGAGAAGGUUCCAAGGGUUGGGCUGUUCGCCCAUUAAAGCGGCACGUGAGCUGGGUUCAGAACGUCGUGAGACAGUUCGGUCUCUAUCCGUCGUGGGCGUAGGAAAUUUGAAGGGAGCUGUCCUUAGUACGAGAGGACCGGGAUGGACACACCGCUGGUGCACCAGUUGGCCUGCCAAGGCCACAGCUGGGUAGCUACGUGUGGACGGGAUAAACGCUGAAAGCAUCUAAGCGUGAAGCCCCCCUUAAGAUGAGAUUUCCCAUUGUAUAACAAGUAAGAUCCCAUAUAGACUAUGUGGUUGAUAGGCUGGGUGUGGAAGUGCGGUAACGCAUGGAGCUGACCAGUACUAAUAGAUCGAGGACUUAACCUU